rnacentral:rRNA from 1 species
UACAGAGGGGGCCAGCGUUAUUCGGAAUUACUGGGCGUAAAGGGCGCGUAGGCGGCCUGCUAAGUCGAACGUGAAAUCCCUGGGCUCAACCCAGGAACUGCGUCCGAUACUGGUUGGCUUGAAUCCGGGAGAGGGACGUGGAAUUCCAGGUGUAGUGGUGAAAUGCGUAGAUAUCGGGAGGAACACCAGUGGCGAAGGCGGCAUCCUGGGACCGGUAUUGACGCUGAGGCGCGAAAGCUAAGGGAGCAAACGGG